AGCCACGUGAACAGACAGAUGAUAAUUCAUGAAGGAGGAAAAACCAUUUGUCUGUUCUGAGUGUGAUGAAAGAUUUAGGCAAAAGAGCACUCUUACUACACACAUGAUGAUUCACCGAGGACAAAAACCAUUUGGCUGUUCUGAGUGUGGUCAAAGA